rnacentral:rRNA from 1 species
CAAUAGCGUAUAUUAAAGUUGUUGCGGUUAAAAAGCUCGUAGUUGGAGUUCUGCCAGGUGACGCUCGUCCGCCCAAGUGGUGUGUACAGGGCGUGCAUCUGGCCCUUUCAAGGGGAACGUGUCUGCACUUUACUGUGUGGUGCGAGAUCCUUGACUUUUACUUUGAGGAAAUCAGAGUGUUCCAAGCAGGCUCUCGUCGUGUAUAGCUCAGCAUGGAAUAAUAGCAUUGGACUUCGUUUCUAAGCUGUUGGUUGCAAGAAGCGAGGUAAUGAUGAAGAGGGAUAGUUGGGGGCAUUCGUAUUUAACUGUCAGAGGUGAAAUUCUCGGAUUUGUUAAAGACGGACUACUGCGAAAGCAUCUGCCAUGGAUGUUUUCAUUGA